rnacentral:rRNA from 1 species
GAUGAACGCUGACAGAAUGCUUAACACAUGCAAGUCUUUGGCGAAGCUGUGCUUGCACAGCCUAGCCAAGGCGGACGGGUGAGUAACGCGUAAGGAACUUGCCCUGCAGUCAGGGAUAACAGACGGAAACGACUGAUAAAACCUGAUAAAGUCAGACGGACUCAUGUCCAGCCUGAUGAAAAGAAAUGCUGCAGGAGAGCCUUGCGUCCUAUUAGCUUGUUGGUGGGGUAACGGCCCACCAAGGCGAUGAUAGGUAGCCGGCCUGAGAGGGUGGACGGCCACAAGGGGACUGAGAUACGGCCCUUACUCCUACGGGAGGCAGCAGUGGGGAAUAUUGGACAAUGGGGGCAACCCUGAUCCAGCAAUUCUGUGUGCACGAUGAAGGUUUUCGGAUUGUAAAGUGCUUUCAGCAGGGAAGAAAAAAAUGACGGUACCUGCAGAAGAAGCGACGGCUAAAUACGUGCCAGCAGCCGCGGUAAUACGUAUGUCGCAAGCGUUAUCCGGAAUUAUUGGGCAUAAAGGGCAUCUAGGCGGCCAGAUAAGUCUGGGGUGAAAACUUGCGGCUCAACCGCAAGCCUGCCCUGGAAACUAUGUGGCUAGAGUACUGGAGAGGUGGACGGAACUGCACGAGUAGAGGUGAAAUUCGUAGAUAUGUGCAGGAAUGCCGAUGAUGAAGAUAGUUCACUGGACGGUAACUGACGCUGAAGUGCGAAAGCUAGGGGAGCAAACAGG